CCACAAUUCAAUGUAAACAAGAUCUAAGAUCCUACAUUAUUCAAUUCUCAAUAAUCUAAAUGCAGAUUCGCUUGUAUGUAAUUAAACUAAUUAAACUAAUGGAAUGUAACUAAACAAACAUGCACUAAAAUCUUUAGAUUAACCAACUCGAUUUUAACCAGACCCAUAAACACAAAUGCAAUACAUAUGAUUAAAAUCUAGUGGUACCUGAAAUCCAUCUCCGCGCAACAGCUCAUUAUACAAUACACAGUUUGAACAAGCAUAUAUCUAACACCACAAUGCUUAUCACAUGUGCUUUCAAACUGUAGUUGUAGAUUUCACCAUAAGCUUCCAAAUGAUAGCAACAAUCACUAGUAACAAACACCACCAUAGCAGUUGUCACUCGUGAGCAAGUUGUGAGAAGCUAAGAUGUAUAGAUGUACAGGGUAUACAAGGAUAUUCACAUGAAUGGACUUCAGUGCAUCGUUGCUCAAUUCGACACCUUAUCUAGUUCUUGAUUGCGCAGCACAUGCCGACCCGAAGAGUAAGUUGAAAUUGCUGAUCCAGUCACCCACAAUGAGUGCUUAGCUACACCCACACUUUUCUUUGUCACCAACCAGACAGUCCAGAAAAAUCCAAUCCAACCUGUAGCUAUAAAAACAGCUAUAAUUGCUGAAAUUGUUGCUGUGGAAAUGACAAAUACAGCAACUGAUAAUGCCCAUAUAUAAAUAGCUGUUAUAAGAGCAAAGAAAAGAGCCAUGAAGCCUCCGACAGCUGCCAAAGAAAUGAGAAGAGAAACAACAACGGCAUUGGCAGUGGCUGCCAGAAAGAAAAGCAUAAAGACAAGCAAUCCUGUCAAGGUAAGAAGAGCAAUAGUCCCAACAGAGAUUACGAGAAGUGCCCGCAGAGGACUGCCACGGCGAGCCCAGAGGAGAACUUUCCGGCCAGUAUUACUAGUAGCAUCCUUAAGAAGACAAGCAUUCUCCGAUAAAGAGUUCUUGAUCCGCUUCAGCAGCGGUGCUGAACUGUCGGAAUCAGGAAAAAAGAUCAUUGAUAGCAUACGAUGGAUCACGUCGUAAAGAGUCUCGGUCCGGCGAGAACCUUUGAUCCCUUCAUUUUCGAGCGGUACUUCCAUGGCUGCAAUAAUUUUACGGCGAAGAGAGGAACUGAUGUUAGAGUGAGUGCAUUGGCGGUUGUUAAGAAUUGACAGAUUUGUG
rnacentral:misc_RNA from 1 species